AGGAAGCAAAUAUCGAACGAGUUCGCGGUACCCUCGGAUGAUACGCAACUGGGUACGUGGGUGGAGGAAAAGCCUGGUAGCACGACCGGAGUACGGGGAGAGUGAAGCUAAUAUGCCAGUCGUGAGCGCGAUUCCGUCGCGCCGCGUACUUGAGGAGCCGCACGCGGCGAAGAAGCGCGAAGAGGGAGAGGGAACCCCCGAAAAAGAAGAGGAGAUUCUCUCUCGCCGAGGGACUCGUCGGGACGCGGUUCAAUCCGUUCACGUUCGAAAACGCGAUCGGAAGACGGAUUUUCCCGCGAUUUUCCUGCUUCUUCCAAAAUUCCCGACAGAAAGUGAGCGGGGAACUUCCUUCUCGUUCUUAAGAGACACAUCUUCCGCGAUUGCACAAAUACCCAAAGAUCUCGAUCGAUCGAUUGUUAUUGAAUAUUGCGAAUCUUCGUCGAACGAUAAGUGAGUGAUUUUUUUGGAGCAAAUAAUUUUCAAGAAGACAAAAUCGUCGGGUGUUCAUUUAGAAGAUCACACACUUGCCCCUAGAUGAGAUCGCUGUAGAAACGUCCCUUCUUCUUUCGAGAAAAGUUCAAGGAGCACCUAGAAAAAAAGUAACGCGAAAGGGAAACAAUCAACAUCGAUCGGUGGAUGAUCAGCGACCGAACGAGAGCGCGUCGUAUAACCGCGGAACUCAUUGAUGCGAAAA